UCGUCGUACCUCUGCUCGCACGCUUGCGGGCGGGUUGGGGGCGGGGGGCGGAUGGGCGGACGGGCGGGCGUACGUGGGAACGGGCGGGCGGACGGGUGGUCGGGCGGUUAGGGAGUCGGAGCAACGCUUGAAAGACGCGCAGAUAGAUGUCAGAUUCUCCCGUAGGGAGGUCUGGCAAGGUGUUAGUUUAGGCGGCGGAGUUGUACGCGGGCCAGUCUGUGUUACAGCUUUGCCGCCAGGGUAGCUCCUUCCGAGUUACUGAGAACCAGUUUUCCUCACAGGAGGAGGCUGGUGGGGCCUAGGGUGUUAGGGGUACGACGGUUGGCUCUUUCACAGAACGGGUGUUUUCCGUUCUGCGUUUGAGUCUGCCGCCUUUGGGCGUCUCCCUCUGAGAUGUCGGUUAGGAUUUCUUUUUUUUAUAUGUCCGUGUGUAACUGUUGCCUUUUAGCCUGUUGUGUUCCUGAGCAGCAAGAAGAGGCGGCUGUGGUGACCCGCCCGAUGCGGAAGGCUUCUGGGCCCUGUCGGCGGGGGCGCACCUCUCUGGCUGACUGGUUGACCAGGCUUUGACCAGGUGGCCAGGGAGGCGCAUCCUCGUUGGGCGGGGUCUGGGGGCCCUCCGUCUUGGGGAGGUCGCUGCAGCAGGAGGAGGUAACUACUGCUGGUUUUGUAAGGCAUUGUGGUUGAGAGCACCUUGCAGCUGUAACGCGAAUUUCGUUCCGUAAUAAACAAUGUACCGCCAUGCUGCCUGUCCUUCCUCCCUCCCAGCACUGUGUACGUCUGUGUGUGUGUGUGUUGCUUAAUUCUCCCUCACUGCACUGUGCGUACGUCUGUGUGUGUGUGUUGCUCUGUCUCUGUCUCUCUCUCUGUCUCUGUCUGUCUCUAUCUCUGUCUCUGUCUGUCUCUCUAUCUCUCAAUCUCUCUCUGUGUCUUUCUCUCUCUCUAGUUAGUAAAGAACAGGCAACGUUUGCCAUGGAAGACUCUACAGUAUACAUAAGACUACAGUGUACAUCCCAACCCUCUACGGCCGUUGCUGCUCCACCCGGGCAUUACCACAUCCACCCGGGUCUACAAGAAACCUCCAGGGCCGAGCUUCAACCACAGAACACCUCGUCACCGUUGAGGAGGUUCCACGCCCCGGACCACAGCCAUGUUAGCCUCGAUAAUAGUCCUUGGCGCACUUAUUCUGAGACGUCCUCGUGAACUGGAGAGCUACACAACACUGGUCAUCUGCUGAGUGGUUGAAUUCCUGGUCUACCGGCCCCUGGAGGAGUGGUAGAUUGCCUGGUCUACCGUGGAUAUGAGUGGUUGAUUCCCUGGUCUACCCCUGGAUGACGCGGCUGUUCCUAUGCAGGGGAAGACUCACACAAGCGAUAAGCACCCGUCGGACCUGGAGACUCCCCCCUGAGCCUGACGGUGGAGCUGUGGGCCCUGCACCAGACCCCCACCCACCCCCCCACACCACCCACAGCAGGGGCAGGGCAUUGAGACUCCCCCCACAGGCUAAGACAGGGAGGGACUUGAAGAUCCAGGUUUUUGUCAUCUGCACAGGAAUUGACACUAUAGACAAUAAUUGACAAUAUAGUUUCCUUUUUUGUGUGUGCCCUUGAGCUGUCUCCUUUGUUGUAGAAAAAAAAUACUUGACAAGGCUUUCAUAGGUGUUUGGGGCAUUUCCAGGGGUAGUUUGAUGACCCUGGUGGUAGUCUGACCCUUCCUCUGUGCAAUGAACUUGAAAAAAACGCUCAUAAAAAUGCAGAUAUUAACCCAGUAGCAGUGGGGAUCAUGUUUCUUAAUGGUCCCUCCAAGCAAGAAAAAUGAGAAAAAAUCGCCCCUCACACAAACCAUUUCAUAUAUAUCAAAACAUUUGCGAUCAGAUUAUGUAUCAUCUAUUUUUGGGGGUUUAUAUCAUGGCACAAAUUUGGCCUGUCGCUGCUACACGGUAAAGCCACAAAUUUGGCCCAUCACUGCUACUGGGUUAACCUCAUUAUCGUGUUAAAAUCCCUGUAUCUUACUGUUAUCUUCCUCUCCCUCUAUAUUAUUUAUCAAUCUCUCUCUUUCUCUCUCUCCCACAGAUGUCUAAGGUUUCGCCCAUGCAGCUGAAGGGUGCCAAUGCCUACACAUGCGUCGACCACAGGUGUGCGCUGGACAUUGCCUACAAUUCAUGGUGCAAAUGGGAGCGUCGGCGGAGAUCGAGCUGGCUGAAGGUUGGCAGCCGGGUCAAGCUCGCCUCGGACAAGGAGUUCUGUGAGAUGUGCUCGGCGGAUGUUGUUGACCUCGAAUACAUCAAUCUUACUAGGGUGGUGGAGGUGUGGGACUACAUCUACAUUGACGACGGACUCAAGGAGAUCCCCGAGACUACUAUUAUUACUAUUACUACUAUGUGUACUAUU